rnacentral:rRNA from 1 species
GAUAAACGCUGGCGGCGUGCCUAACACAUGCAAGUCGAACGUCCUUUUCUUCGGAAAAGGGAGUGGCGGACGGGUGAGUAACACGUGGGGCAUCCACCCUGGGGUGAGGAAUACCGGCGAGAAAUCGCCGACAAGACCGCAUACGCUCUUUUCGGAGAGCAAAGCUCGCGAGAGCGCCACAGGACGACCCUGCGCCCGAUUAGCUGGUUGGUGGGGUGAAAGCCUACCAAGGCGACGAUCGGUAGCUGGUCUGAGAGGACGAUCAGCCACACUGGGA